CGGAAGAUCAGCGCAGAAUUCACCAGACUUGUGUCGAUGGACCUGAGCAAGUCCUUUUAUGAGGGUCUUGACAAACACGCCUCAAAGCUGCUGUAUUUGUACCGCUCGAGGCGCCAUGCAGACAUCGCAGAAAGGAGUGCCAUACUGGAGAGCCUGGAUAAAAAUGCAUCAAAUCACAGGAAGAGGGUUGCAGUACUGCUGGGGCUGCCACUGUCCAUGCGGGAGAAUCCAUCUCAGUUCUUACAGAUCCGUGAGCACACAGAUUCUGAAGAAGAGUUAAUCAAGGGCGUGACUGUUGGAAUCAGUACAGUUGUGGAUGACGCGAUGGACCCUAUUCCGUGUGACUGCGGUGAUGUAGCCCUUGUAAUGGAAGAAGUUGUCGUUCUACGCAAUCUUGUGAUCAUUGUUGUCCACAAAACCUGAGAAGACGCACACAGCCCAACCAGGAGACCAAAUUGUUGUGGAAAUCAUCAAAGAAACACUCACAGACCUCUGACGUCCUCUGAAGAUCUUUUUAGCUGAUAUGGAAAACACUGAUGCAACUUUUGGCACCUCAUCAACCCCAACUACUUCCCUGGAAAGUUGUGGCGUUUGGUGAACGAUCCCCAGAUUUGCUCAAUCUGGUGGGACGACAGCGGGGAAGGGAUACUUAUUCAUCAGGAAACAUUCGAAGCCGAAGUACUAUUGUCCCAACCCACACAUUUGUCUGAGUACUUCAGGACAACUGACUUCAUAAGUUUCAUUCGCCAGCUGAACCUGUACGGCUUCAAAAAAACAACGCACGAACAUCUCGGACAAGCAGUCGUACAACCCUUCGAUUAAAGCCCAACUGCACCAUUUUCAUAACCCGUACUUCAAACGUGAUAAGCCCGAGCUCCUGCUCGAUAUAAAGCGACGCACGCCUCUCAAUAAGGCCAAGCUCGCCGGCUUAAAGGUGACAGG
ensembl:lncRNA